UACGAAGGGGGCGAGCGUUGUUCGGAAUUACUGGGCGUAAAGGGCGCGCAGGCGGCUCUGAAAGUCAGAUGUGAAAGCCCCGGGCUUAACCUGGGAAUUGCAUUUGAUACUCUGGAGCUUGAGUACGGGAGAGGAGAGUGGAAUUCCCAGUGUAGAGGUGAAAUUCGUAGAUAUUGGGAAGAACACCGGUGGCGAAGGCGGCCAACUGGACCAUUACUGACGCUGAGGCGCGAAAGCGUGGGGAGCAAACAGG
rnacentral:rRNA from 1 species